rnacentral:rRNA from 1 species
GAUGAACGCUGGCGGCGUGCCUAAUACAUGCAAGUCGAGCGAACAGACGAGGAGCUUGCUCCUCUGACGUUAGCGGCGGACGGGUGAGUAACACGUGGAUAACCUACCUAUAAGACUGGGAUAACUUCGGGAAACCGGAGCUAAUACCGGAUAAUAUAUUGAACCGCAUGGUUCAAUAGUGAAAGACGGUUUUGCUGUCACUUAUAGACGGAUCCGCGCCGCAUUAGCUGGUUGGUAAGGUAACGGCUUACCAAGGCAACGUUGCGUAGCCGACCUGAGAGGGUGAUCGGCCACACUGGAGCUGGGACACGCUCCAGACGCCUAGGGGUGGCAGGAGGAGGGAAUAGUCGGCAAGGGGCGAAAGCUUAACGAAACAACGCCGGGUGAGUAAGUAGGGUCAUCGGUUCGUAAAACUCUGUUAUUGGAGAAGAACAAAAGUGUAAGUAACUAUGCACGUCUGAACGGUACCUAAUCAGAAAGCCACGGCUAACUACGU